rnacentral:tRNA from 1 species
GGCCUCGUAGCUCAGCUGGUAGAUCGUGCGUAUACAAAGCGUGGGCACCGUCCAUGCAUGUGGGUUUGAUUCCCACCGAGGCCA